UGGUGCUCGUGCUAUAGAAUUUCUUCUGCAAAUUUCUCUAGCUUCACCUCUUUGCUCGAAGAAACAAAAGCUUGGAAGCUCUUAACAAUUAGCCCAAAGGAAACUGCUUCAAUACAUGGUAGAAUCAAUAUUGUAAAUGGACUCUGGUCGUGCAAAUUUCAGUGUUUCGGGACCAUCGUACCUCAAAGCUAUUGAUUGAUCUUGAAAAAGAAAAGAAGAUGGGGUGGUUUUGGAGGUUCACGGUGGCAACGCCAAACAUGCAGAUUGUGGGAAAGGGAUGGAGGAAUAAGGUGGAUGUGUUUGACGAUUCCAGUUUCUAUGCAUAGAAGUAAUGGUGGUGGUUUAUAUGGGGAUACGCAAAUGGAUCAGCAAACAAGGAGGAAACGUGUUUGGGCUGUUUUUAUAUUUGAUUUGCUUGUUAUUGCUACUUUGUCUGGGAUUUGGG